GGCCAAAUGUGACAACCCGAGUUACCAAGAUCUUUCCUUGAUAUGUUACUUGUUACAAACUGUCUUUGAAAUUAUUUGAAUAUGUGUAUUGGUUAAGUAUGUGUAGUACUUGGUUAUGGUAGUUGUUAUAAACACUUAUUUUAAGCUAAUAAACUUUCACAAAUUGCAAACUACGCCCGACUGAAACCUUGUGUAAUAACCUCAAGCUACACAUGAUGAAACAUAGAGUUUAGUUGACGAAACAUAAGGUUGUGCCGAAUUGGGCUUUCGGCCCAGAUAGGGCCCAAACAUCUAUCUGAUUUAUAGAUGCUCAUUGUACGUAAACGUCAGUUACCGAACCCUAGAUUACCCUCUCUUGUGCGGCAACCAUUCUGAAUCCUUGAGGCUCUCCACAUCGAUCCAACCUACUGUUUCUGUCAUCUCGGCUUCGAUUAACUGAGUGUGAGCAAGAAUUGUGUGAGCAAGUAAUUAAUCAAACCGAGCAAACCAAGGUCGUUAACCUUGGAACACGGACUUGCUAUCUGGAAGUGCGG